rnacentral:rRNA from 1 species
UGCGUAGACGGUUAUGUAAGUCAGGUGUGAAAGCCCCGGGCUCAACCUGGGAAUUGCAUUUGAGACUGCAUAGCUAGGGUGCGGAAGAGGGAAGCGGAAUUUCCGGUGUAGCGGUGAAAUGCGUAGAUAUCGGAAGGAACACCAGUGGCGAAAGCGGCUUCCUGGUCCAGCACCGACGUUCAGGCACGAAAGCGUGGGGAGCAAACA